rnacentral:rRNA from 1 species
CACGUAGGGUGCGAGCGUGUCCGGAAUUAUUGGGCGUAAAGAGCUCGUAGGCGGUCCGUCACGUCGGAUGUGAAAUUCCAGGGCUCAACCCUGGACCUGCAUUCGAUACGGGCGGACUAGAGUUCGGGUAGGGGGAGACUGGAAUUCCUGGUGUAGCGGUGAAAUGCGCAGAUAUCAGGAGGAACACCGGUGGCGAAGGCGGGUCUCUGGGGCUGACACUGACUCAUGCACAAAAGCGUGGGGGAGCAAACAGG